CUGCCAAAAGCCCCAGCAAUCACCGAUAUUCAUCGAGACCUUAACCCCCCCAGACGGACAGAUCCAGAGUCCGACGGCUGCGGCUCCGCGAAGGCGCCAGGCAGCCUGUGGCUUGUGCGGCGGCAUGGUGGCGUGCCCCAGCUGCUCAGUGAGGAUGCAAAUCUAGCAACAGCAUCCAAGGUCAGCACCCCCUUUGCCCCUUAUCUAGAUCCGCCACUGGUGGAAAGAGAAGGGGUGGACACACCUGGCGGGUGCUCGUCGCCGGCGAAGGGCAAGAGCCAACAGGAAGACCUGGUCGCCUAUCCUACGGCUGCGUCGUCGGUCGCCUGUCCUACGGCUGCGUCGUCGGUCGCCCAGUCGUCGCCAAGACACAGGUAG
rnacentral:misc_RNA from 1 species